rnacentral:rRNA from 1 species
UCGCGNCGGUGUGCGCAGAAGGGUCUGGGCUCGAGCCUGCCUGGAGCCGCCGCCGGUGCAGAUCUUGGUGGUAGUAGCAAAUACUCCAGCGAGGCCCUGGAGGACUGAUGUGGAGAAGGGUUUCGUGUGAACAGCCGUUGCACACGAGUCAGUCGAUCCUAAGCCCUAGGAGAAAUCCGAUGCAAACGGCGAUGGGAAACGUACUCGACUCAAUUGUUUGAACGAAUGAGACAGAGACCCAUUGAACGGGCGAAAGGGAAUCCGGUUCCUAUUCCGGAACCCGGCAGCGGAACCGUUGUUUGUCGGGCCCUCGCAAGGGGUUCGUCAGGGCAACCUAAAAGGGCCCGGAGACGCCGUCGGGGGCCCCGGAAAGAGUUUUCUUUUCUCCAUGAGCGUUCGAGUUCCCUGGAAUCCUCUCGCAGGGAGAUAGGGUUUGGAACGCGAAGAGCACCGCAGUUGCGGCGGUGCACGGGAAUUCCCGACGGACCUUGAAAAUCCGGGAGAGGGCCACGUGGAGGUGUCGCGCCGGUUCGUACCCAUAUCCGCAGCAGGUCUCCAAGUGAANAGCCUCUAGUC